rnacentral:misc_RNA from 1 species
UUUCCGUAGGUGAACCUGCGGAAGGAUCAUUAGUAGAACCACGUCCCGCCUCGGCGGACGCUCUUCUAAUCUCACCCUGUGCACUGUGUCACCCCUUUUUUCGCCCCCGUGCGAUCGAAAGUGAAGUCACGAAGUCGAUACAAACAUACGAAAGCAUAAAAUGAAGCAACGGAUCUCUUGGCUCUCGCAUCGAUGAAGAACGCAGC